GGAAGGGUGACCGAGUGGUUUAAGGUGUAGCAUUGGAACUGCUACGUAGACUCCUGUUUACCGAGGGUUCGAAUCCCUCCCCUUCCU
rnacentral:tRNA from 1 species